UCAGAUUGAACGCUGGCGGCAGGCUUAACACAUGCAAGUCGAGCGGUAACAGAAAGUAGCUUGCUACUUUGCUGACGAGCGGCGGACGGGUGAGUAAUGCUUGGGAAUAUGCCUAAUGGUGGGGGACAACAGUUGGAAACGACUGCUAAUACCGCAUAACGUCUACGGACCAAAGGAGGGGCUCUUCGGACCUUUCGCCAUUUGAUUAGCCCAAGUGAGAUUAGCUAGUUGGUAAGGUAAAGGCUUACCAAGGCGACGAUCUCUAGCUGGUUUGAGAGGAUGAUCAGCCACACUGGGACUGAGACACGGCCCAGACUCCUACGGGAGGCAGCAGUGGGGAAUAUUGCACAAUGGGGGGAACCCUGAUGCAGCCAUGCCGCGUGUGUGAAGAAGGCCUUAGGGUUGUAAAGCACUUUCAGUUGUGAGGAAAGGUGUAAGGUUAAUACCUUUGCACUGUGACGUUAGCAACAGAAGAAGCACCGGCUAACUUCGUGCCAGCAGCCGCGGUAAUACGAGGGGUGCAAGCGUUAAUCGGAAUUACUGGGCGUAAAGCGUACGUAGGCGGUUUGUUAAGCAAGAUGUGAAAGCCCAGGGCUCAACCUUGGAACUGCAUUUUGAACUGGCAGACUAGAGUAUUGUAGAGGGUGGUGGAAUUUCCAGUGUAGCGGUGAAAUGCGUAGAGAUUGGAAGGAACAUCAGUGGCGAAAGGCGGCCACCUGGACAAAUACUGACGCUGAGGUACGAAAGCGUGGGGGAGCAAACAGGGAUUAGAUACCC
rnacentral:rRNA from 1 species